rnacentral:rRNA from 1 species
UGGGGUAUAUUGCACAAUGGGCGCAAGCCUGAUGCAGCCAUGCCGCGUGUAUGAAGAAGGCCUUCGGGUUGUAAAGUACUUUCAGCGGGGAGGAAGGGAGUAAAGUUAAUACCUUUGCUCAUUGACGUUACCCGCAGAAGAAGCACCGGCUAACUCCGUGCCAGCAGCCGCGGUAAUACGGAGGGUGCAAGCGUUAAUCGGAAUUACUGGGCGUAAAGCGCACGCAGGCGGUUUGUUAAGUCAGAUGUGAAAUCCCCGGGCUCAACCUGGGAACGGCAUCCGGAACUGGUAAGCUUGAGUCUCGUAGAGGGGGGUAGAAGUCCAGGUGUAGCGGUGAAAUGCGGAGAGAUCUGGAGGAAUACCGGUGGGGAAGGCGGCCCCCUGGACGAAGACUGACGCUAAGGUGCGAAAGCGUGGGGAGCAAACAGG